GGGGCCCUGAGUUAAGGCCGCAGCUUCUUCGCUGUUGGUUUCAAGCAGGAGCCUAAAGAGACGUCUUUCUAUGGUCUGUUGGCCAUUUCAGAGCUUAGGCAGCGAAAUGGUCAGUUUAUUAGAAAGAAACAGCU
ensembl:snoRNA